rnacentral:lncRNA from 1 species
CUCUCUCAACCAUCGAGGAAAAAAAGAAACCUCCAACGUCGGAGUGAAGCCUAGCGUCGUCGCUAUCACCAAUCCCCAAUCCAAUGACAUUGGCUCCUCCCCUGUAUCUGCAUCAAAUCCCUUCGCGAAUCCAUAACAACGAUUUUGUGACAGCGACUGUGGUGGUGGAUCUAGCGAUUUGGAUGGGUGUGAAUUUGCGAUGGUGGCGGUGCUAUGGUGGUAGAGGCGCUUCAUGCAAUGAAUGGGUGUGGCGGUUGUUGGCGAUAGUGGUGGAUCUGGCGGUGGAAGUGAGUUUUGUGGUGGUGGUUGCUGGCAAUGGUCCCUGCAGCGAUUUGCGAUGGUUGCAGCUCUAUGGUGGCAGAGGAGCCUCACACAGUAGAUGGGGGUGGCGAUUGUUGGCCAUGGUGGUGGAUCUGGCGAUAGAGCUGAGUUUUAUGGUAGCGGUGGUUGGCGAUGGUAUCGGAUGUUGGUAGUGAAUGUGAGUUUUGUUUGAUCGAAGGUGGACAAUGGCGUUGUUGGAUUUGGAGGUUGCGGUGAUUUUAUUGAUAUGGACAGUAGUAGUGGUUAUGUUGAUGGUGGUGAUGGUGGGCGAUGUCGCUGGUGGUGGUUUACGGCACUCCGGUGCUUUAGAGUGGUGGGAUGGGGUAUGGGUGUUUGUGGCGAUUUUAUUGAUUGAUUGAAAAUUGUGAUCAAUGUGGUGGUGAUUUUGGAAGUCAGAGUGGUGGUACUGCUGUUGGAGGCAGUGUUGAAGUGGUGGUCGUAAGUGUUGGUGGUGAUUACAGAUUAUUUGGUUGAUUGUGAAUUGGUUAAUCUGUAACCAAUGAAAAAAAAAAUUGUGAUCAAGAAAUAAUGUGUGAUCUAAAAAAUUAAUAAUUUGUGACUAUCUAAUAAAUUGUGAUAUAUAAU